UGUGGAGAGAUUACAGUCAAACAGAUUUCUGGACUUCUUCUGUUAGAAAAUUGUCACUGGCUGAGUACAGGUUGACCCUGCAGGGCAGCUGUUUUGUUAACUGAAGACUUUGACUAUGGUGAAUAACUGAGGAUGUUAAAGUGUCUUCUUUUUUACAGCAAUCGGGAGCCGUCAGUGCUGCAAAAGAUAAAGGAACUGUGGCUGAGAGGCCUUGCCCUGCAGCCUUUGCCCAGUUCAGAACCAUCAUCUGUUUCUGAAGUACUGAGAGAAAUGAAGCAGGACAAGCU